UACGAAGGGUGCAAGCGUUACUCGGAAUCACUGGGCGUAAAGCGUGCGUAGGCGGUUCGUUAAGUCUGCUGUGAAAGCCCUGGGCUCAACCUGGGAACUGCAGUGGAUACUGGCGGACUAGAGUGUGAUAGAGGAUGGUGGAAUUCCCGGUGUAGCGGUGAAAUGCGUAGAGAUCGGGAGGAACACCAGUGGCGAAGGCGGCCAUCUGGAUCAACACUGA
rnacentral:rRNA from 1 species